GAAUUUCCGGGCCAGGAUGGUCCAUUUAAAAUGAAUUCCUUCCUUCCUCCCUCGCCCUGCAAGUGUAAACUCGCCAGACGUCAUGAUAAGUCAUCAGAAGUGUCCACUGAAUUUGAGGGGAGAGUGUGUUUUUAAUGCAGCCUUUAUUGUACAAUCCUUACUGUUGACCAAUCACCGACGAAGUGGCUUAGACUUCGGCUUGCCUCUAGAAAAAAAUGUUGUGUGCCCGAACAACAGACCGAAAGGGUAAACCAGAGACGUCUUAGGGGCUAUAAAGCUGAAGCGUCCCUUUAGAAUGGUAGUGAGAGAAAAUCCAGUCGCGGGUAGUGGGAGCGGAUGGAAAUAGCGGAAACUGGGCCGACAUAAUGCUAAUUUUGUCGUCGAUGAAACAUCUGAUCUCAAUACAAUUUGAAUGUACCAAAAGUACAAUAUGUUACGAGCACAGUGCGCUAAGUUUUAUAGACUUGAAGAUUUGCCGAAGUUUUAAAAAAUUGCGUUCAGGAGUGCAAGGGUCGAAUUGAGUUUGUGCUUGGCUUUGCCCACUAUGCUCAUACUGUAAACAGCACAGAUGAACUAACUUCGUUUUGGAAACAAUUUCCAAAAGCCUAAAUGUCAUAAUAUAUGCACGAAUUUUCCAAACUGUUCGGCUGGGAAGAAUCCCUGGUUCAUCGUCCGUGCUUCAGCUGAUGACACCGAACAUGGAAAGACUGACUGAGACGGGCAAACCCCACUCCGUUGCCAGCAACAUUGCAUAGCAAUAUUGCCCCCCAGAAAUGGCCAGUGUAUCAUUAGCCGUCACAUGCACAGCCUUUGGCACGGAAAAAACUCAGCUGGGAGAGUAAAAGUAUCCCGUUCAAUGGUGUUCCGUUUCAAGUUGUUGGCACAAAGACGUAUGAAUGCCACCAGGGCAAAGACAGACAAACAAAAGCCAAAGAGAAAUAUGCUGCUGAAAGAGACAAGAAGGAACUUGAAGACCAUACCUUUGUAAAGAGACGGAAACUGGUACAAAAUACCAAAAAGGUGGACUGCAAGGCUAUAAUAAACAUCGCUCACAUUAUUCGCUUUCCUGAUUUUAAGAUUGAGGAAAGUACAGUGCGCUCUAAAAAGGAGGCCUCCCAAACUCUGAAGGCAGCACUAAGUGAAACACCCAGCUCCGUGAAGGCAGAGGUUGUCUACUGCGUCAGGUUCCCCUCCCUUUCUGAGCACAGCUCACAUGCAGUUGUUGGCGAGGCAGCUCAUGUUAGGGAAGCUGUAGAUGCCAGGCUGAGAGAGAAGAUUGAGCAGCUGACUCUGUCUGGUGUGAGAAAGAUGACUGAAAUGAAGUGUCAUCUGAACACCUUUGUAGUGGAAGAGCUUUUCCAUGGAGAGCAGCCCCCUCCACCUACUCGCAGGCGCUAUUACCCCACUGACAGUGACAUAAGAAAUGUCAUGUUUAAGACCAAGCGGGCCACCGGAGACUCCAAUAUUGACCGUCCAUACGAAGGUCCAUCUGGAAGAGGAAAGAAGAGGUCCUCUAGGAAGCUGUUGCGGUUACGGAGGCAAUGUGCAGGAUAUCUUAAAGAGAUCACAGAACUCACUUACCAUCUCGAAGAGGAACAGUACGUGACUGACCUGUCUUCACAGCUCAGAAGCAUGUUGCUGGAUAUGAAGGCCCAUGUUCCACAGGAUAAAGACCUUCCACUGACCUUUUCUUCAAGGAAGAGAAAAUCUGAGAUGGACAUGGACCUCAUUCCAACCAAGAGUGCAUCACACCCUUUCAUAGAUGGGUUAGAACAGCAUACAGAGGACAUAGUGAGUGUGGAUACCUUGUUGGCAUUGAGCCUAGGUUAGUAGGGCUGAGUGGAUACCUUGUUGGCAUUGAGCCUAGGUUAGUAGGGCUGAGUGGAUACCUUGUUGGCAUUGAGCCUAGGUUAGUAGGGCUGAGUGGAUACCUUGUUGGCAUUGAGCCUAGGUUAGUAGGGCUGCGUGGAUACCUUGUUGGUAUUUAGCCUAGGGUAGUAGGGCUGCGUGGAUACCUUUUUGGCAUUGAGCCUAGGUUUGUACGGCUGAGUGGAUACGUUGUUGGUAUUUAGCCUAGGGCUGAUGACUGUGGGUUCUGCCACCAAUUAAGUAUAUUUUGGGUAGUGUAACUUUUAUUUCAACUAAUGUUAAUGUAACGGAUGUGAAAUGGCUAGCUAGAUUUAAAGUUAUACUGUUACAUUAACAACUUCAUAAAAACAUGUUUUCUCAUCUCAAGAUGUAAAACAAAUACAUGACUAUAGUAAGUCAUUUAGGAGGCAUAUAAACACACUGUUCCACUCAUCUGCAGCUACUCUGCACUUUAUUGUAUUAUGGUCUGUCCUGAUGCCUAGUCACUUUACUCUGCACAUUUAUCUCCUUGACCUGGUACUUCCUGUAUAUAGUCGCACAUUGAUCUGGUACUGGUAAUCCCUGUAUAUAGCUGCACAUUGAUCUGGUAAUCCCUGUAUAUAGCUCCACAUUGAUCUGGUAAUCCCUGUAUAUAGCUGCACAUUGAUCUGGUAAUCCCUGUAUAUAGCUGCACAUUGAUCUGGUAAUCCCUGUAUAUAGCUGCACAUUGAUCUGGUACUGGUACUCCCUGUAUAUAGCUGCACAUUGAUCUGGUACUGGUACUUCCUGUAUAUAGCUGCACAUUGAUCUGGUACUUCCUGUAUAUAGCUGCACAUUGAUCUGGUACUGGUACUCCCUGUAUAUAGCUGCACAUUGAUCUGGUACUGGUACUCCCUGUAUAUAGUUGCACAUUUAUCUCCUUGAUCUGGUACUUCCUGUAUAUAGCUGCACAUUGAUCUGGUACUGGUACUCCCUGUAUAUAGCUGCACAUUGAUCUGGUACUGGUACUCCCUGUAUAUAGCUGCACAUUGAUCUGGUACUGGUACUCCCUGUAUAUAGCUGCACAUUGAUCUGGUACUGGUACUCCCUGUAUAUAGCUGCACAUUGAUCUGGUACUGGUAAUCCCUGUAUAUAGCUGCACAUUGACCUGGUACUGGUAAUCCCUGUAUAUAGCUGCACAUUGACCUGGUACUGGUAAUCCCUGUAUAUAGCUGCACAUUGAUCUGGUACUGGUACUCCCUGUAUAUAGUGUUAUUAUUGUGUAUUCUAUUCCUCUUGUUACAAUCCCCAUGUUUUUUUUACUUUGAAUCGCUGUGAAGGGCUGUAAGCAAGAAUUUCACGGGUAAAUCUACACACCUGUUAAAUUCGGCGCAUGUGACAAAUAAAAUUUGUUUUUGAAGUGCCCAAAUAAAGUAACAGGGUUGACCUUAAGUGUUGACGUUUUAAUCUUCAAUCAGACCAUUUCUAAAUAUGCAUUAAUGACUGUUUCUUUGAAGCUGUGUACGUUUUACUUGUGGAUUUUUUUUUAAACAAAAAUUGAAAAUCAAGAUGUAUCAAUUUGUUUUUUAUAAAAUGGCAUGUAGAUAUUGGAGUAAACCUAUUUUGGGUUAAAACAACUAACUCUUGAGUAAGGGCCAACAUGAUUAGCUUGCAAUCUGAUUGGUUGAUCUGGUUGAGUGCAUUGUUUUAUAACUAAAUAUUCCCUUUCCUUGAAUAAG